AUCGCUUCUCGGCCUUUUGGCUAAGAUCAAGUGUAGUAUCUGUUCUUAUCAGAAGAGGACCCGUCCGACCAGACUGGUAACUAGUAUCAGAACUAACCUCUCUUUUUAUUCCCAUGGCUGAUCUCAACAUCUUCUGCAUUAAUGUGAGGAGUAUUAGAGCUUGGUUUAGAUUUCAGACUGUUCUUACGUUCU